rnacentral:miRNA from 1 species
AGUUCAAGAUUCCGAGACAGGCUGGGGUUUGUAAAUUUUGGCAAACACCAACUUGGUUCGGAAUUUUGGGCUAA